rnacentral:rRNA from 1 species
GAUGAACGCUGACAGAAUGCUUGACACAUGCAAGUCUACUUGAUUCUACUUCGGUAGUUGAUGGUGGCGGACGGGUGAGUAACGCGUAAAGAAUCUGCCCUUUAGUUUGGGAUAACCUUUGGAAACGGAGGCUAAUACCGGAUAUUAUGGAGACGUCGCAUGACGACUUCAUAAAAGCUAUAUGCGCUAGAGGAGGACUUUGCGUCCCAUUAGUUAGUUGGUGAGGUAAUGGCUCACCAAGACCGCGAUGGGUAGCCGGCCUGAGAGGGUGAUCGGCCACAAGGGAACUGAGACACGGUCCUUACUCCUACGGGAGGCAGCAGUGGGGAAUAUUGGACAAUGGGCCACAAGCCUGAUCCAGCAAUUCUGUGUGCACGAUGAAGGUCUUCGGAUUGUAAAGUGCUUUCAGUAGGGAAGAAAAAAAUGACGGUACCUACAGAAGAAGCGACGGCUAAAUAUGUGCCAGCCGCCGCAGUAAGAC